UCCUUCCUACGGGGGGCAGCAGUGGGGAAUAUUGCACAAUGGGGGGAACCCUGAUGCAGCGACGCCGCGUGGGUGAAGGAGUACCUCGGUACGUAAAGCCCUCUCAGCAGGAAAGAAAAUGACGGUACCUGACUAAGAAGCCCCGGCUAACUACGUGCCAGCAGCCGCGGUAAUACGUAGGGGGCAAGCGUUAUCCGGAUUUACUGGGUGUAAAGGGAGCGUAGACGGCAGUGCAAGUCCGGAGUGAAAGCCCGGGGCUCAACCCUGGGACUGCUCUGGAAACUGUAAAGCUGGAGUGUGGGCGG
rnacentral:rRNA from 1 species